rnacentral:rRNA from 1 species
CAUAGCGACUAUCGUGGCAUAUCAAUAAGCGGAGGAAAAGAAACUAACAAGGAUUCCCUUAGUAACGGCGAGUGAAGCGGGAAGAGCUCAAAUUUGAAAUCUUCAAGGUUCUACCUUGACGAAUUGUAGUUUAUAGAAGUGUUUUCUGUUAGUAGAGUGGCAAAAGUUCUUUGGAAUAGGACAUCAUAGAGGGUGAGAAUCCCGUAUUUGGUCAUUCUUUCUAGCUUUGUGAUACACUUUCAACGAGUCGGAUUGUUUGGGAAUGCAGUCCAAAAUGGGUGGUAAAUUUCAUCUAAAGCUAAAUAUUGGCGAGAGACCGAUAGCGAACAAGUACCGUGAGGGAAAGAUGAAAAGAACUUUGAAAAGAGAGUUAAACAGUACGUGAAAUUGUCAAAAGGGAAGCGUUUGACACCAGUGUUGUUUUUCCGAAAAUCAAUUACGAAUGUUUUAUUUUUGAGAAGUUAUGACUUCAUCGGCUUGCUUCUCUCUUUAUGAAACUUUCUUAAUGCACUUUUCGGUUAACAAGUCAACAUCAAUUUCUUUUGUUGUAAAAGGGUAUGAGGAAGGUGGCUUUCUUUUCGGAGAAAGUGUUUAUAGCCUUGUACCCUCUGCAAUCGGAGAGAUUGAGGUCUGCAGCGUAGAUCCUUCGGGGUUAGAUACAUUUGUGCUAAGCUAUAGCCUUUUCAUAGACAACUUGUUGACUAUGCUCAGUCAUGUAGCUUACUCGCUUAUGCUAUUUUACCUACGCUUAGGAUGUUGACGCGCGUGUGUGCGUG